CCCGGCGUCGGCCCUUAACGCCUGCCGUGGAGAAGGCGGCGCAUGGGCAGUCGCGUCCCGCCGUUCCCAUAGCGACGCGUCCUCCGCCCCGUGGGACCUGCUGCUUCGGCCAACAUCUUCGAGCUUCGGCAAGCUCCGGAGGCCGGGGCAACUGGCGGCAGGUAGGAAACUAUGUGAAAGAAUCUUCUGAUGUAAUAAUUUCUGGGUGUCACUGGAACAUUUGAUGAUCAUUCCGUUGGCAACUCCAGCCUUCUAUGGAAGGUCAGUAGAAGCAGUUGAUUUAUUCACCUCUACAGGAAUCAGACUCAGCCUAUUUUGGUUUUCGGUGAAUUAUGCCUUUUCGGUUUGGGACCCAGCCAAGGAGGUUUCCAGUGGAAGGAGGAGAUUCUUCAAUUGGGCUAGAAUCUGGGCUGAGCUCCAGUGCUGCCUGUAAUGGGAAAGAGAUGUCACCAACCAGGCAACUCCGAAGAUGCCCUGGAAGUCAUUGCCUGACAAUAACUGAUGUUCCUAUUACUGUCUAUGCAACAAUGCGAAAGCCACCUGCACAAAGCAGCAAGGAAAUGCAUCCUAAAUAGCAUCAUUAAGUCUUUUGUAGAGGUUUGACUAGGUCAAGGGUAAUGGGCCAGUAUCAUCUUAUGAUCUGGUAAAACAAAUAAAAGUGGUGGCACCUUUGGAUGAUGACAGCAGUUGAAAUAUUUUAUUUUUAGUAGGAGAAGACACAGUGUCAUCUGGAACACGUGUAGUGAUAAGCCAUCAGUUAUGUUUGAUAGAUAAGACGGAAUGAUAUUUCACAAUUAGAAUGCACUCUAGUGAUCAUCUUGCUCACAGUGGAUCAUUAAUAUCAAUAACUGAAGAUGAAGGUUAAUCUACCUUGAUUAUCAGUCAUGAAGGCCCUGUUCUAAAUACUUAGUGUAUCCUAGGCUGGUGUCCUUUGUUUGUAUUUGGGUUGCCACUUAGCUGAAUCCUCUCACUUGAAUACCCUAAGCCAGUUCCUGGCUUGAUAUCUUUUGAUAACGCUCUGCGGUAAUUAUAUUGGUUAAGAAAAGGAGCCCAGUAGAUUGUGCAUUUGGGGAAGAAUACCCAAUGCCAAAGAAAGUUCUUAGUCUGUGGUUAAUCUGAAAAGCAUUAAACUGAAAAGAAAAAAGAAAAAAAAGCAUCAACUGUUUGCAUAUGGGAUCUCAGGUUUUUUGUUAAAUUUAUUAUAAUGAGGUCAAGGCUGUGUUUCUAGCCCCUAUUUUUCCAUGAAGAAUGAUGUCCCAUCAUUAUACCAUAGGUCCCAGAGCCACUCAUCUUGAAAUUGUCUACAAUUGAUACUGAGAGACCUCGGGUGGAAUUUUUUUUUUUUUUUUUUUUUGAUUAGACCUAAGGAUACAUUUUGAGGUCUAGGCCAGCUCUCUAUGGUUUUUUUUUUUUUUUUUUCCUUUCUUUUUGCAAUAGUCUCAACAAACUCAGCUGGCUUUUGUUUCCUCUUGAAGGUUGCCACCAUCCAACCCACGAAAUUGCCUUCUCCAAAAGACUGAGUUUAGGGUCAGAUAGAAGCUGAGAGAAGAUGGAGUACCAUCUAAAAGCUGGAUCAGACUCUUAAGAAUGGCAAAUUCAAAGUUUCAGGUCACCGUGUGGUGGUUGGCCUUUGGGUACGUG